GACGAACGCUGGCGGCGUGCUUAACACAUGCAAGUGGAGCGACGAACCAGGGCUUGCCCUGGGGCCAAGCCGCGAACGGGUGAGUAACACGUGGGUAACCUGCCCCGAUGACUGGGACAACCCGGGGAAACCCGGGCUAAUACCGGAUGUGCUCGCAUCACACCAGUGAUGCGCGGAAAGGAAGCUUCGGCCUCCGCAUUGGGAUGGGCCCGCGGCCCAUUAGCUUGUUGGUGAGGUAACGGCUCACCAAGGCCGCGAUGGGUAGCUGGUCUGAGAGGACGAUCAGCCACACUGGGACUGGGACACGGCCCAGACUCCUACGGGAGGCAGCAGUGGGGAAUCUUGCGCAAUGCGCGAAAGCGUGACGCAGCAACGCCGCGUGAGGGAAGACGGCCUUCGGGUUGUAAACCUCUUUCAGGAGGGACGAAGCCUUGUCGGUGAACAGCCGUGCGAGGUGACGGUACCUCCACAAGAAGCCCCGGCUAACUACGUGCCAGCAGCCGCGGUAA
rnacentral:rRNA from 1 species